UAGAGAAAAACGAAAACGGACGAGAGAAGAGAAAAAGGGAAGAAAAAAAAGAGAAGAUCAAGCAAGGUGUUGUUCUCGGAUCGAUUCUAACGUUAAUAUUAACAGCUCAUGAACUGUUGCCGUGAUUAAAAGCUCGAGAAAAUGAUUGAGAAACAGUUCCAGACGAGGAAAGUUGAAGAAGAAGACGAUUCGGGUUGAUUUGAUCGUCGAAACAAGUUUGAAAAAUCCUAUGGUCAAUGCAAAAGAUGUGUUUCUUUGAGGAUAAUGAGGUAUAUGAAUGACCACACUACAUGCAAGUCCUCUAAUAUUGAGAGAAGAAUGAAGAGAAAAUAUAGACUGAAGAUAUCUUACUGGACUGCUUGGGAUGCAUGAUUUUAAAGGUUAUUUGGGACCUACAAAAAGAGCUAUGGUUCAAGGGAUUAUUUCAGCUCAACAUUCAACAUGGCAUGCAGUACAGGCCUGCUGAAAUUAUUGGUUGCUCCAACAGGUUAGGACUUUGCCGAGAAAAGUCAAAUGGCAAUAUUUAUGGUUUGAAGAAACUGAAGUAGUCUGGAAUGGUUCAAACGGGUCAAUGUUGCUUUUAGGCUAAAAUUAUGAUUGAAUUUAUCAGCAGCUCCUUGUGCUUUAGAAGUAUCUGAAGGAAAAGGCACAAGGAGCUGCUGAUACUGUGAAAGAAGCAACUGGAAUGAAGAAAUAAAAACAAGUCCAAUGUUGCUUUUAGGCUAAAAUUAUGAUUGAAUUUAUCAAUGUUGCAAAGAAGAAGAAGAAGCAGGAGGUUUCUUUUCUUGUAUUGAAGUCCAAUAAACUCAUAAAAGUUUUAGUUCCAGCUGCA